rnacentral:rRNA from 1 species
AGUGAACGCUGGCGGUAGGCCUAACACAUGCAAGUCGAACGGCAGCACAGUAAGAGCUUGCUCUUACGGGUGGCGAGUGGCGGACGGGUGAGGAAUACAUCGGAAUCUACUUUUUCGUGGGGGAUAACGGAGGGAAACUUACGCUAAUACCGCAUACGACCUACGGGUGAAAGCAGGGGAUCUUCGGACCUUUCGCGAUUGAAUGAGCCGAUGUCGGAUUAGCUAGUUGGCGGGGUAGAGGCCCACCAAGGCGACGAUCCGUAGCUGGUCUGAGAGGAUGAUCAGCCACACUGGAACUGAGACACGGUCCAGACUCCUACGGGAGGCAGCAGUGGGGAAUAUUGGACAAUGGGCGCAAGCCUGAUCCAGCCAUACCGCGUGGGUGAAGAAGGCCUUCGGGUUGUAAAGCCCUUUUGUUGGGAAAGAAAAGCAGCAGGUUAAUACCCCGCUGUUCUGACGGUACCCAAAGAAUAAGCACCGGCUAACUUCGUG